rnacentral:rRNA from 1 species
AUACGAAGGGGGCAAGCGUUGUUCGGAAUGACUGGGCGUAAAGGGCGCGUAGGCGGUUCGUUGCGUCAGAUGUGAAAGCCCCGGGCUCAACCUGGGAACUGCAUUUGAUACGGGCGGGCUUGAAUCCAAGAGAGGGUGGUGGAAUUCCCAGUGUAGAGGUGAAAUUCGUAGAUAUUGGGAAGAACACCAGUGGCGAAGGCGGCCACCUGGCUUGGUAUUGACGCUGAGGCGCGAAAGCGUGGGGAGCAAACAG